AGGAGAAAGCGGACAAGAAGGGAAAGAGAAGCCAGAUUGCGCACCCAGAUCGUGGUGUCGUUAUUCACCGAACCGGCUCGAAUAUCUAAUUACGAUGAAAGAGGUUGUCCACGUAGCGGAGUCCCAAUGAAAAAUUCAAUAUGAAACUGUAAUCGGGAGCUCCGUCUUUCUCCACGGAUUAGUAUCGGCGGCCUGGCCGCCUUCUCCGCUUCCAAUGUCCGUGAUUUAUGACCGGGCCACAUGUAACGCGCAUCGGCUGAAUAAUUUUCUCUGCCAGCUCGAUGUACGAUACUUUCCCAUUCUCAUCGAUCUCUAAGUGUCAAACUGGUAUUAAAAUCGGCCGAGUGUUGUACGAUAUCUUAUCGAGUUCUCGUCGUUGAAGACGACCUGCCUUCAAGCCCCUUCUACUUUUGAGCGAAUCAAACAGAGUUCACAGAAAUGGGAGUAAAUGGACUGACAAAAAAGCCAAUCGAUUGCUUGGCAUUCUGAUAUUUAUUCAACUUGAUUUCGGGGCGAACGUGGUUCAGGUGAUAUUUUAUCUGGAGUGAAAAAGAGAAGAAAGAAAGAAAACUUAAGAGAGAUAUUUUUGUGUUGAGACAGUUAUGGAGAAUAGGUUUGAAUCAGAACUGUUGCUUCUAGAUUGAAUAGUUUAUAAUUUUAACUACAUAUAGAAUAAGAGAAAGAAAAAUGUUGUUGAAGAGUGAUUGGAAGAAAUAAUGGUCGAGAUAGUAUCAAUAGUAUUAAUAGAUUUGAUAAUGAUAUUAAAAAAAAUUAUAAGAAAGUUGUAAGAAAUGAUUUUCAACAGAAGUGUAAAGCCAUUAACCUAAUGACAUUCUUAAUUGCAGAUUCGACAAGAAUUUCUAGUUUAAGACUGUGGUGCUUUCUAUAAGAAAUUUCAAAGGAAAAGCGACAAAAACAAGGCCUCGAUCAAAUCCCGCAUCUAGUCCUGGCAAGUUUCUUUCCGCGCGCUAAUGAUCCCCAAAUCUUCACAAAAGACUCGGAUCGCAAUCUCGUUUCCUUUUAGAAUACCUGUUUAUCUUGUAGCAAUAUCGAACCAGAGACGAGAAAGAUUAGACAUGCCUUGUUAUGAGGUGAGAUAGGGAAUUCAAAUCUUCCCUUUCGAGGUGAACUUCGUUAGCAUAACAACGAUCUGCAAGGAACACGUGGAACGUGAGACGUUCAACAAAAUGCGAAAAAAAAACGAAGAGACAAGCUUCCUCGGGAGACGAAGCUUGUGCAGGCGCAAUGAUAAUGUCGAGGAAUUUUCACGUCGCGGCUCUUAAUAAAACUUACGAAACGCACGAAAUGUAAUAAACGAGCGACGUGUAUAGGUGAUACACGCGGCCAAGCGACUGACCCACUUUUUCUCAAGAUGUAUGAAUAUUAGUUUAACGAACUUGUCGCAACGAAGAUAUAACUGCCACUCUUUCCUUCUUGCUUUUUCCGUAGGUGUAGAUAGUAUUGCAUUUCAUGUACUUGCAUUGCACGAAUUUUUUUUCACAUUAAACGAGUCGUCUUCAAUUCGGGUGGUAAUCAGCCAUCUUCUUAUUUUCACAAACGUUUUGCAUUUUAAGCACGAUGUCGUGUAGAGAUUUAUCAUCAUUCUUAAUUUAAUAUCUUUCAUGUGAUAUUUCACGAAUAUCUUGACAUAAAAUUGUAAAAUCUAUUUGUUAAACAUAUAUCUGUAACAUAUAUAUAUAUGAUUUAUCACUUGUCAAUUUACUACUAAUAUCAUUUGUUGGUAAUUUAUAGCAUAAGAUGCCCCUAGAUGUCAGUUUGAUCGUAAUUCUCUAGUAGGGAGAAAGCAAGCAGAUUAACGCCGGUCAGAGUAAUAAUUCGUGCGGAGAACAUCGGAAACGGUUGGAACGUCUGAAUCGCAUAUCCGGCCGAAAUGGCCGGAUACGAAUCGAGUGUCAGCUUUGGGAAUUCAGCCGGUCGAUCGGUCGAUUAUACACGCCGUAAUAGAGCGUCACGCAACUAUGAGAAUCCGUUGUGUACUGGUUGGCUUCGAGCUACCUCGAGAUGUGUCGAAACAGAAGCUUCCACGCCACGCGCCACGCUUCAGGAUUUGUAAGUGGACACGUGUAUGCAGUUACCCUUUGGCACCGUGUUCUCGACGUGGAAUUAACAACACGACGUCAUUAGACCGGAUGGAAUAACUAAUGAAAGACCCUUGAACGGGGAUGAAGAUUGAUUUUCAAAAAUACAAAGAGCAUUUGAUCUUUUUUCAUUGAAAAUUGUCACUUUAUAAAUGUUGAAACAUCUCUUGACGUAAUAAUCCUGGCUGAUCAAUGAUUGACAACUAACAAUAAGUGGAUGCCAAUUGAAUUCUCUUUUUUAAACACAGAAGUCCUAUUGAUGAAAUGGUUGUGACAGCCCAGUCGAUCAUCGAUAUUGCCUUUUCCACGUAUCAUUAAUUAUCAUUGGUUAAAACAGAUUCUAAUAACAAGCAAGAAUAUUCAAUCGGAAAAAUCACAGUUACUUCAGAACAGAAAACGAUCGCAGGAUAAUCAGAAUCAUCUACGUUUAAUUGUAAAAUGGUUUUACAAUCGGAUCCUUAUAAUCGAUUAGUAAUGAUCGGGUUAACGCUUUUCAAUUAAAACUUUCUGUCGACAGGGACGAACUCUGGAUAAAAGCAUCGAUUCCAUGCAAGAGACAAUGUCUGAGAGAAUUUCAACGUGGAAUCAAUCUGACGAUUACAUUUAUUUCAUAUUUAUCCAAAGAUCAAAUUGUGCGAUAAUACAUCCACUUCAUUGGAAGUUUACGAGAGAAUAGACGUUAUCUAUCCUUGUGCAACGACACGAAGAUUCACCAACAGCUGCGGCAAUCGUCGGAAAAAGAUACGGGAGUGUGCAAUGUUUUAACUCGAUUCAGAAUUACCAGCUUGAACACGUGUACACGUGUAUCCCCUUGUUGCGCGUUCACCGCGGCCAUUAAAGCCGCAGCUUUAACUGACCCCGGCGGAGCUUUGCCGAUAUAUUUUCCGUAGAGACCGGUAAACGCUGUAGUAAGUUGCUCACAGAUCUGUCGAUCGACAUUUUACUGAACUGUUUGGAACUCGCUCUACUUGAAAUUGGUCUCUUGCACUCAGAUUAUAUUUAUAGACUUUGUUAUUUCUAUUAAUGGCAGAUUAAAAAUUUCUUUGAAAAUUUUUGAGAAUUCAUACUAUUUAAAAAUAUAUCAAGAUAUAUUAUAUUAUAUUUACAUAGUAAAUAUAAAUGCCUAUAAAUAACAAGAAGAUAGAGAAAGAUAUUUUUCCUGGUAUUCAAGCGCCAAAUCGUCCCAUUAUUCAAAUCAGAAGACAAUCAAUCAUCUAAUCAACGAUUCAAACUCUAAUUAUCAAGACUCUCUCAAAGUUCCUACUUCAAGAUUGGAAACCGUGGAAUUCCAUUAAAGUACAGGUUCUCCCCAUCGAGGGUGAACUGCAAGAAAAUGCAGACAGAUAGAACUGGAAGCAUGCACACCCUGAUGACUGAUCGUGGAAGCUCUUAUUAAAGCGAUUCACGCUGUAAUUCUUCGCAAUCCACGUUUCAAAAGGCGAUGAGCUAUAACGUUUUCAUUAGCCCUAGCUCGCUACGCGUAAUCCCAGUGCACUGGUUGCCUUUUCGAGUCGUUUCAUUCCAAGCGUGUAUACCUCCCCGGUUCAUGGCCAAUGAGAAUGCGAUCCGGCUUCUACUUCAAGGUAUUCUCUGCUCUUCUCUGUUUCCGCCGGAGGCCGCCGACUCGAUUAAUCGUCGAUGGAGGCUAACAUGUAACAGAGUCAAUCUCUUUGAGAGAAAAAGAAAUUGUCUCUUCGUUUGUGCGUUUUGUGUUACAGGU